GCUAAGAUAGAGUAUUACUUGCAAUGUGGGUUGCUGUGGCACGGGGGAAGGCUCGGUGGGUCGACAGCGACCGGCGGCGGCGACGUCGGCUGGGGUGGCGGCGACUGGCGGUGGCGAUGACGGGGUGCGGCUCUUCGUUGGAGCGGGAUAGGCAGAGAGGGAGAGAGAGACAGAGAGAUAAGAGAGAAAGAGAGCGAACAGUGAGGGAGAGGUGUCGGGGCUCCGGGUAUACCUAGGUAAGACAGUGAAUUGUUCACCGUCUUCAUUAAAAACAGUGAAG
rnacentral:lncRNA from 1 species